rnacentral:rRNA from 1 species
CCAUACGACCGUACCGCAAACCGACACUGGUGCGCGAGAUGAGUAUUCUAAGGCGCUUGAGAGAACUCAGGAGAAGGAACUCGGCAAAUUGACACCGUAACUUCGGAAGAAGGUGUGCCCUAUUAGUGUGUAGUGAACAACGAAGCAUGAAUGGGUUGCAAAAAAUCGGUGGCUGCGACUGUUUAUUAAAAACACAGCACUCUGCAAACACGAAAGUGGACGUAUAGGGUGUGACGCCUGCCCGGUGCUGGAAGAUUAAAUGAUGGGGUGCAAGCUCUUGAUUGAAGUCCCAGUAAACGGCGGCCGUAACAAUAACGGUCCUAAGGUAGCGAAAUUCCUUGUCGGGUAAGUUCCGACCUGCACGAAUGGCGUAACGAUGGCCACACUGUCUCCUCCUGAGACUCAGCGAAGUUGAAAUGUUUGUGAUGAUGCAAUCUCCCCGCGGAAAGACGGAAAGACCCCAUGAACCUUUACUGUAGCUUUGUAUUGGACUUUGAACAAAUCUGUGUAGGAUAGGUGGGAGGCUUUGAAGCAGGGUCGCUAGAUCUUGUGGAGCCAACGUUGAAAUACCACCCUGGUGUGUUUGAGGUUCUAACCUAGGUCCAUUAUCUGGAUCGGGGACAGUGCAUGGUAGGCAGUUUGACUGGGGCGGUCUCCUCCCAAAGCGUAACGGAGGAGUUCGAAGGUACGCUAGUUACGGUCGGACAUCGUGACGAUAGUGCAAUGGCAUAAGCGUGCUUAACUGCGAGACUGACAAGUCGAGCAGAUGCGAAAGCAGGACAUAGUGAUCCGGUGGUUCUGUAUGGAAGGGCCAUCGCUCAACGGAUAAAAGGUACUCUGGGGAUAACAGGCUGAUACCGCCCAAGAGUUCAUAUCGACGGCGGUGUUUGGCACCUCGAUGUCGGCUCAUCUCAUCCUGGGGCUGUAGCCGGUCCCAAGGGUAUGGCUGUUCGCCAUUUAAAGAGGUACGUGAGCUGGGUUUAAAACGUCGUGAGACAGUUUGGUCCCUAUCUUCCGUGGGCGCUGCAGAUUUGAGGAAGCCUGCUCCUAGUACGAGAGGACCGGAGUGGACACACCUCUGGUGUAUCGGUUGUCACGCCAGUGGCAUUGCCGAGUAGCUAAGUGUGGAAGAGAUAACCGCUGAAAGCAUCUAAGCGGGAAACUCGUUUCAAGAUGAGAUCUGCCGGGGCCUUGAGCCCCCUAAAGAGUCGUUCAAGACCAGGACGUUGAUAGGUCAGGUGUGGAAGC